rnacentral:ncRNA from 1 species
CGUUCGAGCAGCGUCGUGUCGCGGUCCGGGACUGUCCUCAGUCCCGGGUCGUCUCGGCGCGGUUCCGAGCGGUCGCUCCCUCGCGAGGUGCCGCGGGUCAGCGGCUGACGCCAGCCACCUUCCCGACCCGUCUUGAAACACGGACCAAGGAGUCUAACAUGUGCGCGAGCCGCGGGGCAGUACGAAACCCGUAAGGCGAAAUGAAGGUGAACGCCGGCGCGGUCCGGCGGAGGUUGGAUCCCGUCCCGUCGGGGCGGGCGCACUACCGGCCGAUCUUCUCCGCCCUGUCGGCGAGGUCGAGCGAGAGCGUGCAAGUCGGGACCCGAAAGAUGGUGAACUAUGCCUGAGGAGGUUGAAGCCAGAGGAAACUCUGGUGGAGGACCGUAGCGAUUCUGACGUGCAAAUCGAUCGUCAAAUUUGGGUAUAGGGGCGAAAGACUAAUCGAACCGUCUAGUAGCUGGUUCCCUUCGAAGUUUCCCUCAGGAUAGCUGGCGCUCUGUCGCAGUUUUAUCUGGUAAAGCGAAUGAUUAGAGGUCUUGGGGGCGAAACGCCCUCAACCUAUUCUCAAACUUUAAAUUGGUAAGAAGCCCGACUCGCUCGUUUGGAGCCGGGCAUGGAAUGCGAGUGCCAAGUGGGCCACUCUUGGUAAGCAGGACUGGCGAUGCGGGAUGAACCGAACGCCGGGUUAAGGCGCCCGACGCGACGGUAAUCAGAGCCCACAAAAGGUGUUGGUUGAUAUAGACAGCAGGACGGUGGCCAUGGAAGUCGGAAACCGCUAAGGAGUGUGUAACAACUCACCUGCCGAAUCAAUCAGCCCUGAAAAUGGAUGGCGCUGGAGCGUCGGGCCUAUACCCG